rnacentral:lncRNA from 1 species
AUGGAGGAUUCGUCCUCUCACCCCCUCUCCCAUGUCCCCAGCUGCACUGCAGGACUCCAGUCACACCACCAUGCCUGUCCACGUGGGAAGGAAGCAGCCACCAUGCCUGUCCACGUGGGAAGGAAGUAUUACUUGUUUUCUUUGACAAAAGAACCAAAAGGCCUUCUGCCCACCAAACAGAUUUUACAACUGCUUGGGCCUCAGAAGUGGGUGGUACCGUCACUCAAAAUGGCUUAUAGACCAUCUGAAAGUCUAUCCACACCAGGGAAAACAAAUCUGGUCACGUGCAAGAUCCGCUGCUGCUGCUGCUGCUGCUGCUGCUGCUGCUGCUGCUGCUUCUAAUGAGAUUCUGUUAAAAUAACGUUUUUAAAAUGCUUCCUAAAUAAAUGCAGAUUGCAUUAACAUAAAGGUAUUUGCCUGUGUCAGACAUUAUAGAAGUGCUAAAUGACCCUGAGCCUCACUGGCCUAAAGCCAAGAGAAGCACUUCACCCUGAUAGAAAUUAUAGUGCUGUCAUUGUGUUGUAAUAAGCCUUCAUAAUGUGAAGCAUUGUGUUUCUGCUAAGUCUUGAAUAAAAAAAAAAAAAAUAGAAUCAGGGUCGGGUUUCCUUAGAGGAAGAGGAAGAAGUGUCCUUGCUUCCGUAGAAGAGGAUAUUUACUUGGUCUCAGGAAGUACACGCUUUGCUCAUCUUUUUUAAAACUCCGUCUUUCAAAGAAAGCUAUCUUUUGCUCAAAUUUGAAUUCUGCUUAAGUGCAGAAGAUGUUGCAGUCUUUUCCUCCAUAGAUUUUAAGAAGUGCACUUAUUGAUGAUAACUGGCUUUAUACACAGAAAAUCUAAGUGGAGGGAAGCAGUAUUGGAAAUGUGACACACAGAUGACGCUGCAUUUCCCUGAGCCAUCUCCAGCAGGAAGUGCAGAAACCUGAACGAAAUUUAGUGAGCAGUUCACAGGGUGUUCCUGCAUUCUUAAGGCUCAACUGUUAUGUGGAAAGUAGGUUCAGCCACCUAUGCUCCAGUGUAAGAAGGCAAAUCUGGUGAAAACCAAUAGUGGUCCUAGGGCCAAGAAGGUGAAAGUAGGUUGUCAUUUUAAAAGGUUGGUUGCUUGUUAGGAAAGAACAAAGGUCAUUAUAGUUCAACUUUUACAUUUUCAUUUUUUUGUUUUGUUUUGUUUUUUAUUCACUGGAGUUGUAUAACGUGAUGCUUUGGGCUAGAGACUGCCCGACGUUGUUUUUUACCCUAACAAAAUACUCUUAUGGUUAUUAAUGCCUAGCCCAAUCCUAUUCAUUCCCUAUUUCAAUACUCUGAGAACUUCUUUUAGUUUUAAAAACAUAAAUUUUCAUCACUGACAUAUGUUCUAGAUUGAUUUUAUUACAAGUCUCAGACCUAAUCUCCGUUAACUUGGAGCUUUUGUUGGUGUCCAAUCAAGAAGUUGAAGGCAAGCAAUAGCCAUUGACUUGUGUGUGUGUGUGUGUGUGUGUGUGUGUGUGUGUAUCUGUACCUUUGAGGAAAUAAUAACAGUCAUAGCUCCUUUUUAUCAAGUGUGACCCUAAGCACCUUGCUAAAGGCUUUAAAACAUAACCUCCUUUAAUCUGUAUGACACUUUUCAAAAGAGAGCCUUUUAUCUCCAUUUUACAGAGAAGAAAAUUAGGAUUCAGAGGAGUUAAGCAAUUUGCCCAGUAUCCCAAAGCUCAUAAAUCACAGCCAAGAGUUAAACUAGGCUGAUUUAACAUCCAUUACACAAUGCGACCUCCCAAGCCCUGAGUCUGUUUGCCCUGGGCAAAUAUUACACUUAUAUUUCAAAACCCAAGGAAAAAGAGGGAGGUGGAAGUUGCUAAAUGGGGGGAAGCAAAUGGAAAAUUUUGUGGCUGUUUAUUCAUCCACAAAGUUUCCUGAGGUUCAGACACACUUUGUAAGAUCCUUGCAGGGUGGUGGUACAGUUCCUCCCCUCAGGGAGCUAACAUUUUAAUUGAGAAAGCACCCAAGAAUAAAAGUUAAAAAUCAAAUAAGUGCUUCCAUAGACGUAUACACAAAUUAUUGUGUGUAAGAACACGGAAGAAGGGAUUUUUUUUUUCCUGAUGGCUUGGAAAACAGUUGGAAAGAUUUGUUUUGUCUACUAAUCAUUAAAUAGCACAUAUUUUAAUCUAGUCAUUAGGAACAUUUGACAUUUGUUUGCCAAAAGUAAUGAAUAUUAAUUUUGAAUAUUUGAAGACUUUCAAGUCACUGAACCAAAAAAUCUGCUUCUAUAUUCUCAAACGUUGUUGCAGCAAUGGAAAUUGACAAAAUUUAAAAAGUAAAGUUUCUGGAAAGCAAACCGGUGACAGGGACCAGACUUCUAGGAUUUUAUCUACUUUCCUGAUAAGUUCUUGAGUUAAAGAUACAUGCACAAGAAUGUUCCCACCUUGCUUGUACCAAUAAACUAAACAACCCAAUGUCUGUCAACUGGGGAUUCAUUAAAUUCUGAUAUAUCCAUAUAAUGGGCUAUCAUGAACCUUUACUCAUUACCUGCACUAUGAACCUGAUACUCAUUAAAGGAAAGAAAAUCUCCAUGACAGAUGGUUAAGUUAAAAACAAAGUAUACAAGUAUAUGGUAUCACUUAUAUAAGUACACACACAUAUGCACGCACAGAGAUGGAUAAAAUACAUAGAGAGAUGUCAAGAGAAAUUUUAACAUUUCUUGGGUGCCAGGAUGACUUCAUGUUUUUAGUAAUUUUCUGUAUGGCUUGGAUUUUCUGUCUUACCCUAUCAUUUUUGUAAUCGGAAAAGAAAAACAAGAAAACUACUUUAUUUGGGGAAAAGGGGAAUAUGUCUCCUAGACUUACAUCUCCUAAAAUGAUAGAUUCUAGAGACAAUAUUUCAAAAUAUAUUUCUACUGAUGUAGUUGUAACUCACCUUGAACAAAACCUUUUCUCUGUCACAUCGUAGAUUGGAAUUUGCUUUGUGGACUUGUCAUCGUCAGAAAACCAUAACCAUGUCAAAGACAGUGGACAUGCGGUUGGGCUUGGCUGUCUUGUUCUUUGAUGCAGAGAGGCACAAAUAGCCAAAGAUUCUACUUAGUAUAUAAUGCAUAUUCUAACAGGGAAAGCAUAGGUCUAUUCCUUUUAUUCAUGUCCACUCUCUAGGAAUAUAACUUUGAGGGCCUAAGAUGAUUCCACUGACUUGUAACCACGCUUCAUACCAGAGAACCCAAGUAGCUGGAAGAAAUAUGCUGUAUCUUUGCUCUUUUUUUCUUUUUUCUUUACUAGUGUUUCUAUGUUUAUAAACUAAAUGACUAGAAGGUGCAAAAGGCAUUUUCAACUUUGCGUGCAUUGUAAUACACACCUCCAAAAGCAAAUCAACUAUGGAAGUAGGCAUUACAAACUCAUUUAAUCAACGCUAUAAAGAAAUGAUAUCAUUUACUUUAGGUUAUGCAAGUUAGAUUGCUAUGAUGAAAGUAAUCAAUUUGCACAAAGAUCCCUGGGCUGUUGUUUCCUCCUGUACAAAAUUAGACCUCUUUCACGGCUAACAAUCUAAGAUUCUAUUACUUACAAGUGUAGCAAAUGUCCUCUUGGCGGUUUAAAAGUUUUAUGGUUCUCAAUAGAUAACAUUUCAGAAUAGAGUUUAUUGCAAUUAUGGGAGUGAGCUGAUUAUAUGAGGAGUAUGUGUUGGUGCUGCAUUCCGUCAUUACUAAAAGAGCACAAUUAUCAAUCUCUCGAAUAUGGUUAAGAGGAUUUGACGUCAACAACUUCAUGCCAAGUGCUGAGACAUAAUAAAAACAUAUAUAACUCAGUAAUGAGAAGUGGAAGAAAAUUAUCAAGAGGAGGAGAAUGAAGAGAAAAAAGUAUAAGGUAACCCUCUCCGGUCCCUUCCCUCUUUGGGAGCUUUGUACAAUCAUUCAAUAAACUUUACUGUCAGAAACUUUGCUAUGCUGUCCACCACUCUUUGUCUGGUCUACCUCUUCAUUCUUUGAAGCAGUGUGAUUGAGAACCAGGGCACUAAAAGAAAAGAAAAAAGGGAGAGUUUUUAAUAAUGAAAAUUAUAGAAAAGGGAAAAUUUUUAAAGUCUAAUGAAUUAAACUGAGAGGACGUAGCCAGAAAAGAGAGAACUAGUCUCUAUAACCAAAAUUAUUACAUGGAAGUUUACACAGUUUAUGCUUUUAAAUGAGUUUUCUGGGGCACCUGAGUGGCUCAGUCAGUUAAGUGACUGCCUUCAGCCCAGGUCAUGAUCCCGGGGUCCUGGGAUGGGGCCCCACAUCUGGCCCCUGCUCAAUGGGGAGUCUGUGUCGCCCUUUCCUUCUUCCGUUCCCCCUGCUUCUUCUCUCUCUCUCUCUCUCAAAUAAAUACAUAAAAUCUUUUUUAAAAAUGAGUAUUCCUGGGCAGCCCCCGUGGCUUAGCGGUUUAGUGUGGCCUUCAGCCCAGGGUGUGAUCCUAGAGACCCAGGAUCAAGUCCCACGUCGGGCUCCCUGCAUGGAGCCUGCUUCUCCCUCUGCCUUUGUCUCUGCCUCUCUCUCUCUCUCUAAUAAAUAAAUAAAAUCUUUUUUAAAAAAUGAGUAUUCCUAAAUUGUCCCAGAUCGUCUUGUCAUUUAAACUAUUCUUAUCAUCUUUAAACAAAUGAUAUAUCAUUCACAAGUUCCAAAACAAGGAAAAUCCCUAACUCUCAUACACAUUUCUGAGGUUAAAACCAAAUCAUUUUCUACAAAAGCAUAUAAUUUCCAAGUUUUCCCAGGACCAAAAUGAAAAGAAAGUUCUCAGACUCCCAAAUAGUUUUGUUUACCCUUUCAUAAAUGUCACAUGUUUGCAUCUUUGGCAGUAGGAAAUUUCUAAAAGUUUCUUCAUCAGUAAAUCCUCAUCUCCCACAUUUUCUUCUAGGACAUAAAAUAGAAUAACUUUGUUAAAUACUCUGAAAAUCAAACAGAAAGGAAGUAAGUUGUUGCACCAAAGAAUCAGCGGGCUGGGUCGAUGGAUCUGCCACUCACCCUGAGCAUAAGUUUGGGCAAUGCAUGCAGCUUCUGAGCUCUACCUUCUCCGAUUUAACAGCCUCUCCUUAGAAUUGCAUUCAAACCUUGAGUCCUAAUGAUCUUAGUUCAAAUCCUGACUCUGCUACUUGCCAAGCACCUGUGAACUUGGAACUUUA